CUGCUCAAUGAUUUUUUAAAUUGCUGUGGUAUUAUGACUAAUACGAAGGUAUUGUAAUAAGAGCUUUAAUUGGGUGCUAAGAGAAUGGUUUAACAAAAAUAAGCUUUUUUUUUGUUUAUAUUAAAAGUUAAUUUAAAAAUGAGAAAGUUUUUAUAAAUUUUUAGGACAAGAAGACCCUAUGAAUUUUUUUAAAGACUUUUCUUUUUUGGUCCUUUAAAAAAAUUCAAGGAAAGUUUUUAAUUAAUUGGGGCGAUUUUUAAAUUUUUAAAAACUUUAAAAAUGUAUUAUUGGAUCCAAUAUUAUUGAUAUUUUAAAAAAAAUACUCUAGGGAUAACAGCGUUAUUACUUUGGAUAGUUCAUAUAGAUAAAGUAGAUUGCGACCUCGAUGUUGGACUUAGGAUACCUUUAUUAAUGAAGAAGUUAUAAGAGGAGGCUUUGCUCAACCGUUUUAAUUAACUACUUGAUCUGAGUUCAGACCGG
rnacentral:rRNA from 1 species